GGGAGGUAUGAGCCAACCUAAGCAGAGCCGUCUUACCAGCUUUCGGACUGUACAGGUAACCUGCCUGAAGCAACUCAAAUGCUUUAUAGUAACCACUAGUUUACUUCAGAUAUCCGGGACUGUUCGUCUCUCACGGAGGCUUCACAACCAAGUUCACAGGCCGCUGCACUGUACAGACCAGCAUCUACACCUUUCGAGAGAGGGCAGUAUAUCGAAGUACAAGUGCCUGAUGCUUUGCACAGGUCUGUAGCUGCCCACGCCGAAUAUCCUAGCUUAUACACGGACUUGCAAACUCGUGGUUAGUCAUCCAUGUGAUGUACAUCUUUGUGCUCCUGUCAUUCACUGUCCAAGUUUGUUUUUUGUAACUUUAUGGUC
rnacentral:lncRNA from 1 species